CUCGUCCGGCCCACCAGAAACGUGCUUGGACUCACAGAGUCACUUUGGUUGGAACCAAGUCCUAUUGCAACACACAGCAGAGCACAAAUGACUUUGCUGCGGCUUCCGAUUGCACUGGGUAUGUUACCAUCGAUGGAGCGGGACAGAGGUCUGGUUGACUUACCAUGCACAACAAUCUGUUCAGAAGCCACCUCAUAAUGAAAAAUGACUGGAAAAAGUACAUCUAGAAUUCAUCUUACUAUUGUACUAGCAGCACCAGUAAGUGCUGGCAGAACUGUCAAUGGAAGGCUGCUACAAGGGCGAGGGAUGGCCCCCAGUCUCAUAAAAUCUAUCCCAAUGGGAGCAAAUAGGACUCUCACUAUUUGCAAUGCAAAAGUCUGUUGCUAAGCUGCUCAUCACAUUCUCUAUGGAAAGGGGGAAGAACAACACAGUUUAAGGUUGAGGACAAGAAGGGGAAGACCCAAGACUAUGCUGGUUUUGUGUAUCCUGACUACAAUGGAAAACUGGGGU
rnacentral:lncRNA from 1 species